rnacentral:tRNA from 1 species
GAGCAUGUAGCUUAGUGGUAAAGUGUGUGCUUGGCAUGCAUGAGGUCCUGGGUUCAAUCCCCAGUACCUCCA